CACAUCCUCCCCCGAGGCAGGCUUUUUAAAAAGGGAGGCAGACAUUAACGACACAAUCCUUUGGGCAAAACUGAAAGAACUGACGCAAUGGCGUCAAGUGAUUCCACCCAACGAAUUUGACGAUAGACCAUUUUUUUAUGUUCUAUUAGCUACAUGGUGACAUUCAACCAUUGAUGUUUCAACCGGAAUAUAGGAAAGAGGAUUAGAAAGAAAUACUGGGAUUUAGCUAUAUCCGAUGCCAGCACCAAGAGGGCUAGCUAACAUCAUGCAGUGGGGAUGUUUUUCAGUGGUAGGGACUGGGAGACUAGUCCUAGUGCGUUGGUGAGUCCAAACGGCAUGACCAGGUACUCAGUGUCCACUGGCAGGGUCUUGAGCUUCCCCACAAAGAAGAAUCCUGCACCAGCAGGAGAGGCAGAAGGACAAACACUCCCAACAGCCAGAGAGUCCUCGAUGUACUCCUCCAUGGACUUGGUCUCAGGACCAGACAGGGAAUUUAGCCGGCCUCGAGGCAGUGUGGUGCCCGGGAGGAGGUCAAUAGCACAAUCGGCAGGACGAUGUGGAGGAAGUGAGGUAGCACGAGCCUUGCUGAAAGCCUCCAGGAGGUCAUGGUAUUCUGCGCGAAUGGCAGAGCGAUCUGAGGCUGUACUCAAUCCUGAAGGCAGACAUUCCGGGGAAGGCUAGAGCAGGUCCGCCUCCAACCCUUCGGGACCAUUCAGAAGGCGACACGACAAGACUCUACCUACAAUAUUCCAUGUAUAAAAACUGCUGUAACCUUUGUCUAAGCCCUUUUUCAGCUGACUCCUUACUGAGUCAUAUGACUAAGUCCGUGCACGUUAAACUGCAGGACAAGAUAUCUUUUGACUCAAUAAACUGCCAUUUUGCUACAACUGAAA